AAUGAACGCUGGCGGCAUGCCUAACACAUGCAAGUCGAACGAAGGCUUCGGCCUUAGUGGCGCACGGGUGCGUAACGCGUGGGAAUCUGCCCCUUGGUUCGGAAUAACAGUUAGAAAUGACUGCUAAUACCGGAUGAUGACGUAAGUCCAAAGAUUUAUCGCCGAGGGAUGAGCCCGCGUAGGAUUAGCUAGUUGGUGUGGUAAGAGCGCACCAAGGCGACGAUCCUUAGCUGGUCUGAGAGGAUGAUCAGCCACACUGGGACUGAGACACGGCCCAGACUCCUACGGGAGGCAGCAGUGGGGAAUAUUGGAAAAUGGGCGAAAGCCUGAUCCAGCAAUGCCGGGUGAGUGAUGAAGGCCUUAGGGUUGUAAAGCUCUUUUACCCGGGAUGAUAAUGACAGUACCGGGAGAAUAAGCUCCGGCUAACUCCGUG
rnacentral:rRNA from 1 species